AGUGGACGCUGGCGGUAGGCCUAACACAUGCAAGUCGAACGGCAGCACAGUAAGAGCUUGCUCUUACGGGUGGCGAGUGGCGGACGGGUGAGGAAUACAUCGGAAUCUACUUUUUCGUGGGGGAUAACGUAGGGAAACUUACGCUAAUACCGCAUACGACCUACGGGUGAAAGCAGGGGAUCUUCGGACCUUGCGCGAUUGAAUGAGCCGAUGUCGGAUUAGCUAGUUGGCGGGGUAAAGGCCCACCAAGGCGACGAUCCGUAGCUGGUCUGAGAGGAUGAGCAGCCACACUGGAAGUGAGAAACGGUCCAGACGCCUACGGGAGGCAGCAGUGGGGAAUAUUGGACAAUGGGCGCAAGCCUGAUCCAGCCAUACCGAGUGGGUGAAGAAGGCCUUCGGGUUGUAAAGCCCUUUUGUUGGGAAAGAAAAGCAGCAGGUUAAUACCCCGCUGUUCUGACGGUACCCAAAGAAUAAGCACCGGCUAGCUUCGUG
rnacentral:rRNA from 1 species